rnacentral:rRNA from 1 species
UACGUAGGGUGCAAGCGUUGCCCGGAUUCACUGGGCGUAAAGGGUGCGCAGGCGGCCGAGUGAUGUGAGGCGUGAAAGCCCGGGGCUUAACCCCGGAAUUGCACCUCAAACUACACGGCUAGAGCAUUGGAGAGGGUAGCGGAAUUCACGGUGUAGCAGUGAAAUGCGUAGAUAUCGUGAGGAACACCAGAGGCGAAGGCGGCUACCUGGACAAUUGCUGACGCUCAGGCACGAAAGCGUGGGGAGCAAAAGGG